AUCAUGUUUAUGCCUUAAGGACCAAAUGGAACUUAAGUCCAUACAUUAAGAACCAUUAAUUUCGAUUAUUCUCUCUACACUUAGAUGAUAUUCAGAAAUUAUGUGAAGUUCUCAAUGCCAUGCUAAUUUCACGAAGUAUUUCACUUAAUAGUUCGGGGCAGACCCAGUUUUGCCCCGGGUACUCGGGUCAAGAAUGGAUUUACAUACAAAAAUAGAGAAGAGGGAAUUACAGGAAGAAGAUAGAGAACUUGUGCUCCUCGUUUAUUGUGAUGCAUAAGGAGGUAGUACCGUGUGCAUCUGAGGUGGUACAUGACCAUUAUGGCUACCUAGAAUUUAUCUAUUUGUCACUUUUGUCCUACGCAGUUUUCAAGUUCAAGUUUUAAUGCAGAACUUCUGACCACUUGUUAGAUUUUGCAAUUACGUCCUUGUUAAAUUUUAGUUGUCAUUAUACUACAAAUAAAAAUAAAUGUAUAAUUUUACUUGUUCAAAUUGGCAAAAUCGAGAGAUAAUUUAUCAUUUUAUAUUUUACCUAUUUUACCCAUAUUAAUAAGUACUAAUUAUAUCCAAUUCAUUUUCCAAUAAGUGAGAUGACUUAUAAUAAUUAAGGGCGAUAUAAAAUUACCACUUUAUUUAUUGGUUCUUAAAGGGUGUGCUAAGUCAAAUUUGCAUGGACUCAGGGAGUAAUAUAUUUUAUCUUUUAUUUAUAUUUUGUAUUCUAUUGGUCUUAUGAGAUAGGGUUAAAUGAAGGGACAUGAGAAUUAUUUGUAGAGCCAAUUCUGACUUGUUUCAAUAUAGGUGCUCCUAAGGUUUGAGGCUUAAUUGUUGUCGUUGUUGUAUUUGUGAGUUACAUUUAGUUAAGUCCAAGUGAUAUAUCUUUACAUGGUAUCAGAGUCAGGUCCAUCUUUGUUUGGGCUUCCCAUACACACUCUAGUUGGGCAUGGUCGUGAAGGGGGUGUUAGAGUAGGUUAGAGUCAGGGGCGGAGCUAGGUAGCCUCCAGGGUUCAUCCGAAUCCCCUCGGUGAAAAAUUACAUUUUAUAUAUAAGAUAUUAAGGUUAAUUUUUAUUUUUAUUUUUAUGUAUAUAUAGUAGAUAUUGAACCUCUUGGCUUCUUCGUUUAUUUACUUCUUCAUAUGUUUGAACCCCCUAAGUUGAAAUUUUGGCUCCGUCACUAGUUAGAGUCCCAGAUCGGUUGGGGAAUGGACCGGUGGUCUGCUUAUAUGGACUUAGCAAUCCUCUCCUCAUGAGCUAGCUUUUGGAAUAGAGUUAGACUCAAGUGUGAUGUCUUUACAAUAUUUUGUAUACUAUUGGCAUGAGAUAGAGUUUAUCCUUUGAUGCUGGUGUAAAGGUUUGUUAGAGGCAAUCUAGCUGAAGUUAGUUGUAACCGUACUCUAUAUGGUCCAAGCACUCUCCAUUUGAAGGUUUAAUGAAUGAAAAACCUAAAUUUGUCUCUACUUUUUCUCUCCUCUUGUGCUCAUUUCUCAUCUCAUCUCUGUUUCCCAAUGCUUUGCUUCAUUUUGUAAUUGCUUUGAUUGAGUUAAAGUGCGAUAAGUUUGUAUCAGAGCCCUUCGAUCCAGAGCACCUGUGUGAUGGCUAAAAAUCAGAGAAUGAAGAACCUGGAAGAAAGUUAAGAAGAUACGAGUCUCAACUGCAAAAUUUUGAUAUGUGUCUGCUAUGAAGACUGCUAUGAGUUCUCAGCGUUGUGAUUGCUCGGAAAUUCAGCCCAGUAGAUCUUCUUGAAGCUAAUCCACAUUACUCUCGCCACAACCAAAAUGCUCUCCUGUUUCUGGUCAAUAUAAAAUGCUAUGGUCAGAUUUCAGGACCAAGAAUGUUGCAUCUCAUCUUUUAUAAUGUAGUCAGGGAACUUUUUAUCUCAAUCCAGUUACCAAGUUAGAGGAAGUGCUAACUACAGAACGUGAAGUUUUCUAAAACCAGGAAGUUUUGUUUGGUUUAUCCUUUUGUGUCAACAGGGAUUAAUAUCCUAAAACCUGUACUAACUUAUCAGAUGAAUAAUAAA